rnacentral:rRNA from 1 species
GACGAACGCUGGCGGCGCGCCUAACACAUGCAAGUCGAACGAGCGAGAGAGAGCUUGCUUUCUCAAGCGAGUGGUAAACGGGUGAGUGACGCUAGAGGGACCUGCCCCUACGAGGGGGACAACAGUUGGAAACGACAGCUAAUACCGCAUCCGCCCACGACCCGGCAUCGGGUAGCGGGAAAAGGAGCAAUCCGCGUUGCGAUGGCCUGGCGUCCGAUUCGCUAGUUGGUGCGGUAACGGCACACCAACGCGACGAUCGGUAGCCGGACUGAGAGGUUGAGCCCGCACAUCAGGACUGAGACACGGCCCAGACUCUUACGGUAGGCAGCAGGGGGGAAUAUUGCACAAGGGGGGAACGCCUGAGGUAGCGACGCCGUGGGGAGGAAGAAGGUAUUCGGAGUGUAAACUCCGGUUGUUGUGGAAGCUAUUGACGGUACUCAACAAGGAAGUGACGGCUAACUACGUG